GCCAUGAACCUGCUGAGUGCUCCGCAACGCAUAGGGAGCCCGAGAGGUUCGACGGCCCAAGCAAAGAAAGAAAGAGAAAAGAAAAAGAAAAAGGGAGUAGAAGUGUAAGGAGAACGGCAGAGGAUAGAAAGGAUGUAAGGGAGGAAUGAGAAAGUAUAA